AGUGAACGCUGGCGGUAUGCCUAACACAUGCAAGUCGAACGGCAGCACAGUAAGAGCUUGCUCUUACGGGUGGCGAGUGGCGGACGGGUGAGGCAUACAUCGGAAUCUACUUUUUCGUGGGGGAUAACGUAGGGAAACUUACGCUAAUACCGCAUACGACCUACGGGUGAAAGCAGGAGAUCUUCGGACCUUGCGCGAUUGAAUGAGCCGAUGUCGGAUUAGCUAGUUGGCGUGGUAAAGGCCCACCAAGGCGACGAUCCGUAGCUGGUCUGAGAGGAUGAUCAGCCACACUGGAACUGAGACACGGUCCAGACUCCUACGGGAGGCAGCAGUGGGGAAUAUUGGACAAUGGGCGAAAGCCUGACCCAGCCAUGCCGCGUGGGUGAAGAAGGCCUUCGGGUUGUAAAGCCCUUUUGUUGGGAAAGAAAAGCAGCAGGUUAAUCCCCCGCUGUUCUGACGGUACCCAAAGAAUAAGCACCGGCUAACUUCGUG
rnacentral:rRNA from 1 species